rnacentral:tRNA from 1 species
CCGUCUGUGGUGUAAGUUGUAGCACAUUAGUUUUUCGUUCUAAAGAUGUAAGAUUCUUUACCAGAGGGA